GCCUAGAUAGCUCAGUUGGGAGAGCGUUAGACUGAAGAUCUAAAGGUCCCCGGUUAGAUCCCGGGUCUAGGCA
rnacentral:tRNA from 1 species